AAGAUGAGAUUAAAAGACGAUGAGGACCUAUCUAUUGUUCUUUGGCCAGGUAGUGCCCAGGCUCUGGGACUUCUCCCCUAAACACGAGCUGCAUUCAUAAAACCCUGUCAGAUGCUUCUUGGAGGUAAUAGAUCAAAAGAUUGACUUCUCUCGUUGUUACCCAGACUCCUGACCAACCCUGAUGCUUCUCUAAUGAGCUUGCCUGGUGUGGCAUGUCCUCUCUUGGGAACUGUCCAGCUAUUUCCUCAUCCAAGAGUCUGUAAACAUCCUGAUUUAUAGGCAAGUUAAUAACUUCAUUUACAAUGUAGCCUUUCCCUUUCCCCCUAACAGGAACAUGCAGCUUUUGUUCUUAAUCGUAAUUUUCCAACUGCCCCUGGAAUGUCUAUAUCUCCGUCUUUGGAGGAAGUACAUGUAAAGGGUAGAUAUUCAGAAGAUGAUGACCUCUAACUAGAAUUACUUGCAAAUUAAACUAUGUUCUGUCAAGGGCCUGGAGGGCCUGGAGCUGUAGAGAGUAGGGGGGGAUCAGGACAGUGGUGAUAGCUCUCCUGCUCGGCUGAGAAUACUUGGGUGAGGAGGCUGGCCACAGGACACCCCCCCAGGGCCAACCCAAGGCUCAGUUGCAGU